CGACAAACUACAAACAAUUCUUUUUGACCAAGAAGACGUUAAUUCAAUGACUUUAAAGGGAUAUAAUGGCAAGUUGGGAUGAGAAACUUCUUACAGCUGCAAGGCAGGGGAAUAUAAAAGAGGUAGAAUUAUGUGUAAAGAACAGAGCUAACUUGGAAUGUAGAGAUUCUG